rnacentral:rRNA from 1 species
UACGGAGGGGGCUAGCGUUGUUCGGAAUUACUGGGCGUAAAGCGCGCGCAGGCGGUUCUUUAAGUCAGGGGUGAAAGCCCAGAGCUCAACUCUGGAAUUGCCUUUGAAACUAGAGAACUUGGGUACGGGAGAGGUGAGUGGAAUUCCGAGUGUAGAGGUGAAAUUCGUAGAUAUUCGGAAGAACACCAGUGGCGAAGGCGGCUCACUGGCCCGUUACCGACGCUCAGGCGCGACAGCGUGGGGAGCAAACAGG